UCCCACUGAUGAAACAUUUAGUAAUCUGAAAGCUGUGACUAUAAAUUGGUGCUCCCUUCUGGCAAUCCUGAUUGCUAAGGUUGAGGAACCAUAGCUUCUUCCCAGGUGGAUAUUAGGCAUUCUGAGGGAU